rnacentral:misc_RNA from 1 species
UGGAAGGUAAAAGUUGGGAACAAGGUCUCCGUUGGUGAACCAGCGGAGGGAUCAUUACCGAGUUUACAACUCCCAAACCCAAUGUGAACGUUACCAAACUGUUGCCUCGGCGGGAUCUCUGCCCCGGGUGCGUCGCAGCCCCGGACCAAGGCGCCCGCCGGAGGACCAACCAAAACUCUUAUUGUAUACCCCCUCGCGGGUUUUUUUAUAAUCUGAGCCUUCUCGGCGCCUCUCGUAGGCGUUUCGAAAAUGAAUCAAAACUUUCAACAACGGAUCUCUUGGUUCUGGCAUCGAUGAAGAACGCAGCGAAAUGCGAUAAGUAAUGUGAAUUGCAGAAUUCAGUGAAUCAUCGAAUCUUUGAACGCACAUUGCGCCCGCCAGUAUUCUGGCGGGCAUGCCUGUCCGAGCGUCAUUUCAACCCUCGAACCCCUCCGGGGGGUCGGCGUUGGGGAUCGGCCCUGCCUUGGCGGUGGCCGUCUCCGAAAUACAGUGGCGGUCUCGCCGCAGCCUCUCCUGCGCAGUAGUUUGCACACUCGCAUCGGGAGCGCGGCGCGUCCAGAAGCCGUUAAACACCCAACUUCUCCCAAAUGUUUAGCCUCGGAUCACCCCCGGAAUACGCGCCGAACUUA